GGGGGAAGCUCAAAGCGAGUUGCACGGAUACUCGCGUGAUUGGAGAAGAGCCUUCGGGUUGUUGAGCUCUUUUGUCAGGGAAGAAACGGUGAGAGCUAAUAUCUCUUGCUAAUGACGGUACCUGAAGAAUAAGCACCGGCUAACUACGUGCCAGCAGCCGCGGUAAUACGUAGGGUGCAAGCGUUAAUCGGAAUUACUGGGCGUAAAGCGUGCGCAGGCGGUUUUGUAAGUCUGAUGUGAAAUCCCCGGGCUCAACCUGGGAAUUGCAUUGGAGACUGCAAGGCUAGAAUCUGGCAGAGGGGGGUAGAAUUCCACGUGUAGCAGUGAAAUGCGUAGAUAUGUGGAGGAACACCGAUGGCGAAGGCAGCCCCCUGGGUCAAGAUUGACGCUCAUGCACGAAAGCGUGGGGAGCAAACAGGAUUAGAUACCCUGGUAGUCCACGCCCUAAACGAUGUCUACUAGUUGUCGGGUCUUAAUUGACUUGGUAACGCAGCUAACGCGUGAAGUAGACCGCCUGGGGAGUCGGGUCGCAAGAUUAAAACUCAAGAAUUUUUUGCCGGGGAGGCUGCCUCCGGGG
rnacentral:rRNA from 1 species